UUACAUGCUGUCCCAACCUGCUUAUUGUUAUUAGGCAAACAGCAGCAAAUUCAUUUCUGCAUAUGUCCCUGACAUAUGGGGUGUCAAAACCAUGAGAACCAUUUCUAUUUCAAUACAAACCCUCUUUUGCUUCCCUUUCUAUAACUCAUGCUGUAUCUCAGCAGGGCAUGGUCAUGAAACCACCAACCAAUCAAAUUUUGGUCUCAGUCAGCACCCAAGCAGCAGUAAUGCCAGCUAGCUAUGCCACAACAAAAGGUAUGUGUAGUCCCAGUGCAUGCUGAAUUUUAUUUAUGCCUGCAUUGCAACCACCUUUGGGGAACACUGCUACAAGGCACAGAGCGAGUGAGGAAGAAAUUGAAGCUGUUUUAAUGAAAAGCAGGUAUGCUUCUGUGGAGUUUCCAGUUUUCCUCACUUUCACUGAGAGCAGAAAAUGCAAAAAGAUAGUUGUGGGGGAAAAUCCUCAAUCAAACAUUUCCCAAGUUCCAGCUGUUGUAGGAACGACAACCAACACCCUCUGUCCCACUGGAAGGUUGCUUUGCAUGCCAUCCCAUCACACGUUUGUGGCAGAAGACCAUGCAGGACGGGUGCCACCUGACUGAAGUGCAACUCUCAUGAUGGACACUUUUGCUUCGCUAGCACAUAACAACAGAAGAGGAAGAGUUGCCAAGACCUCAUCUGACCCAACGUGUCCUGAAAGAGACAUUACAUCUGGUAUCAUUUUGGGCAACGUCUUCUAAGCUGUUCCCUGCUGUCAACAGAGGUCACCCACUCCCGCAAGCUCCUUCUGAGUGGACCCUUCUGUACUACGAGGAAAUUUUCCUGCUGACUAAUCUGAAUUGCUUCUGCUGCUUCCUCAAGACCCUGAAGACACAGAGAAUGUCUUAUUGCCCUUUACCAAGCUCAAGGCUUAUGUCUUCCCUAUACCUCUCUCUAAAUUAAACAGCACCAGUUGUUGUA